rnacentral:rRNA from 1 species
GCCAGACUCCUACGGGAGGCAGCAGUGGGGAAUAUUGCGCAAUGGGCGAAAGCCUGACGCAGCGACGCCGCGUGAGGGAUGAAGGUCUUCGGAUCGUAAACCUCUGUCAGCAGGGAAGAACGGUCACUGUGCUAAUCAGCAGUGAAUUGACGGUACCUGCAAAGGAAGCACCGGCUAACUCCGUGCCAGCAGCCGCGGUAAUGCGUAGGGGGCAAGCGUUAUCCGGAUUUACUGGGUGUAAAGGGAGCGUAGACGGUUGUGCAAGUCAGAAGUGAAAGCCCGGGGCUCAACUCCGGGACUGCUUUUGAAACUGUGAAACUGGAGUGCAGGAGAGGUAAGCGGAAUUCCUGGUGUAGCGGUGAAAUGCGUAGAUAUCAGGAGGAACACCAGUGGCGAAGGCGGCUUACUGGACAGUAACUGACGUUGAGGCUCGAAAGCGUGGGGAGCAAACAGGAUUAGAUACCCGCGUAC